CCUACGGGAGGCUGCAGUGAGGAAUAUUGGUCAAUGGACGAGAGUCUGAACCAGCCAAGUAGCGUGAAGGAUGACUGCCCUAUGGGUUGUAAACUUCUUUUAUAUGGGAAUAAAAUGUUCCACGUGUGGGAUUUUGUAUGUACCAUAUGAAUAAGGAUCGGCUAACUCCGUGCCAGCAGCCGCGGUAAUACGGAGGAUCCGAGCGUUAUCCGGAUUUAUUGGGUUUAAAGGGAGCUUAGGUGGAUUGUUAAGUCAGUUGGGAACUUUUGCGGCUCAACCGUACAAUUGCAGUUGAAACUGGCAGUCUUGAGUACAGUAGAGGUGGGCGGAAUUCGUGGUGUAGCGGUGAAAGGCUUAGAUAUCACGAAGAACUCCGAUUGCGAAGGCAGCUCACUGGACUGCAACUGACACUGAGGCUCGAAAGUGUGGGUAUCAAACAGGAUUAGAUACCCGGGUAGUC
rnacentral:rRNA from 1 species